UGGGGAAUUUUAGACAAUGGGCGAAAGCCUGAUCCAGCAAUGCCGCGUGUGUGAAGAAGGCCUUCGGGUUGUAAAGCACUUUUGUCCGGAAAGAAAUCCUUGGCUCUAAUACAGUCGGGGGAUGACGGUACCGGAAGAAUAAGCACCGGCUAACUACGUGCCAGCAGCCGCGGUAAUACGUAGGGUGCAAGCGUUAAUCGGAAUUACGGGCGUAAAGCGUGCGCAGGCGGUUUGCUAAGACCGAUGUGAAAUCCCCGGGCUCAACCUGGGAACUGCAUUGGUGACUGGCAGGCUAGAGUAUGGCAGAGGGGGGUAGAAUUCCACGUGUAGCAGUGAAAUGCGUAGAGAUGUGGAGGAAUACCGAUGGCGAAGGCAGCCCCCUGGGCCAAUACUGACGCUCAUGCACGAAAGCGUGGGGAGCAAACAGGAUUAGAUACCCUGGUAGUCCACGCCCUAAACGAUGUCAACUAGUUGUUGGGGAUUCAUUUCCUUAGUAACGUAGCUAACGCGUGAAGUUGACCGCCUGGGGAGUACGGUCGCAAGAUUAAAACUCAAAGGAAUUGACGGGGUCAUAGCUG
rnacentral:rRNA from 1 species